rnacentral:tRNA from 1 species
GCCCAGGUCAGCGACCCCUCAUCGGAGAUCGGCCAAGCGCCUUCUAAGCGCUUGGCCGCAGGUUCGAGUCCUGCCGGGGGCG